rnacentral:rRNA from 1 species
AAAGAUUAAGCCAUGCAGGUCUAAGUACAGGCCCUAUACGGCGAAACUGCGAAUGGCUCAUUAAAUCAGUUAUGGUUCCUUAGACAUACCACAUCCACUUGGACAACUGUGGAAAAUCUAGAGCUAAUACAUGCGACAAAGCUCCGACCUCCGGGGAAGAGCGCAUUUGUUAGUACAAAACCAACCCGGGUUCGCGCCCGGCCAUCUUGGUGACUCUGAACAACCUUGGGCUGAUCGCACGGCCUCGCGCCGGCGACGCAUCUUUCAAAUGUCUGCCCUAUCAACUGUCGAUGGUACGUGCUAUGCGUACCAUGGUUCUCACGGGUAACGGGGAAUCAGGGUUCGAUUCCGGAGAGGGAGCCUGAGAAACGGCUACCACAUCCAAGGAAGGCAGCAGGCACGCAAAUUACCCAAUGCCGACACGGCGAGGUAGUGACGAAAAAUAACAAUACGGGUCUCUUUCGAGGCCCCGUAAUUGGAAUGAGUACACUCUAAAUCCUUUAACGAGGAUCUAUUGGAGGGCAAGUCUGGUGCCAGCAGCCGCGGUAAUUCCAGCUCCAAUAGCGUAUAUUAAAGUUGCUGCGUUUAAAAAGCUCGUAGUUGGAUCUCGGUUCCAGGCCUGCGGUCCGCCUCGAGGCGGAUACUGCUCGUCCUGCGUUCGACGUCGUGGUGGUCCCUUGGUGCUCUUGACUGAGUGUCUCGGGCGGUCCCGAACGUUUACUUUGAAAAAAUUAGAGUGCUCAAAGCAGGCGUAUCGCCUGAAUAAUUCCGCAUGGAAUAAUGGAAUAGGACCUCGGUUCCAGUUUCGUUGGUUUGCGAAUCCUUGAGGUAAUGAUUAAUAGGGACUGCCGGGGGCAUACGUAUUGCGGCGGGAGAGGUGAAAUUCGUGGAUCGCCGCAAGACGAACGACAGCGAAAGCAUUUGCCAAGAAUGUUCUCAUUAAUCAAGAACGAAAGUCAGAGGUUCGAAGACGAUCAGAUACCGUCGUAGUUCUGACCCUAAACGAUGCCGACCGUCGAUCCGCCGGAGUUACUACCAUGACUCGGCGGGAAGCCUCCGGGAAACCAAAGUCUUUKGGUUCCGGG